GACGAACGCUGGCGGCGUGCCUAAUACAUGCAAGUCGAACGCAGUGGGGACGGGUGAGUAACACGUGGGUAACCUCCCAUCAGAGGGGAUAACACUUGGCAACAGGUGCUAAACCGAUACUGAUGUAUGGACCCGGGGUGCAUUAGCUAGUUGGUGGGGUAAAGGCUCACCAAGGCCAAGCUGCAUAGCCGACCUGCGAGGGUGAUCGGCCACACUGGGACUGAGAAACGGCCCAGACUCCUCCGGGAGGCAGCAGUAGGGAAUCUUUGGCAAUGGACGAAAGUCUGACCGAGCAACGCCGGGGGAGGGAAGAAGGUUUUCGGAUCGUAAAACUCUGUUGUUAGAGAAGCGGUAUCUAACCAGAAAGCCACGGCUAACUACGUGCCAGCAGCCGCGGUAAUAC
rnacentral:rRNA from 1 species